AUUUAGAGGAAGUAAAAGUCGUAACAAGGUUUCCGUAGGUGAACCUGCGGAAGGAUCAUUAAAGAGUUAGGGUCCUAGUGGCCCAACCUCCAACCCUCUGUUGUUAAAACUACCUUGUUGCUUUGGCGGGACCGUUCGGUCUCCGAGCGCGUUAACCUUCGGGUUGGCGAGCGCCCGCCAGAGUCCAACCAAACUCUUGUAUUAAACCAGUCGUCUGAGUAUAAAAUUUUAAUUAAAUUAAAACUUUCAACAACGGAUCUCUUGGUUCUCGCAUCGAUGAAGAACGCAGCGAAAUGCGAUAAGUAAUGUGAAUUGCAGAAUUCAGUGAAUCAUCGAAUCUUUGAACGCACAUUGCGCCCCUUGGUAUUCCGAGGGGCAUGCCUGUUCGAGCGUCAUUACACCACUCAAGCACUGCUUGGUAUUGGGCAUCGUCCGUCGAAAGGCGGGCGUGCCUCGAAGACCUCGGCGGGGUUUUUCCAACUUCGGGCGUAGUAGAGUUAAAUCAAAACGUCUUAUAAGCUUGGUGAGAUCUCAUUGCCGUUAAACCUUUUAUUUUUCAGGUUGACCUCGGAUCAGGUAGGGAUACCCGCUGAACUUAAGCAUAUCAAUAAGCGGAGGAAAAGAAACCAACAGGGAUUGCCCUAGUAACGGCGAGUGAAGCGGCAAUAGCUCAAAUUUGAAAGCUGGCCUUAUGGUCCGCAUUGUAAUUUGUAGAGGAUGCUUUUAGGCAGCCGCCGGUCUAAGUUCCUUGGAACAGGACGUCAUAGAGGGUGAGAAUCCCGUAUGUGACCGGCUCUGGCACCUUCUGUAAAGCUCCUUCGACGAGUCGAGUUGUUUGGGAAUGCAGCUCUAAAUGGGAGGUAAAUUUCUUCUAAAGCUAAAUACUGGCGAGAGACCGAUAGCGCACAAGUAGAGUGAUCGAAAGAUGAAAAGCACUUUGGAAAGAGAGUUAAAAAGCACGUGAAAUUGUUGAAAGGGAAGCGCUUGCAAUCAGACUUGGCUUCGGUUGUUCAACAGGUCUUCUGACCUGCCUAUUCAAUCGUUGCCAGGCCAGCAUCAGUUUCGGCGGCCGGAUAAAGGCCCUGGGAAUGUGGCUGUUCCUUCGGGGACAGUGUUAUAGCCCAGGGUGUAAUACGGCCAGCUGGGACUGAGGUCCGCGCUUCGGCUAGGAUGCUGGCGUAAUGGUUGUAAGCGGCCCGUCUUGAAA
rnacentral:rRNA from 1 species